rnacentral:rRNA from 1 species
GACGAACGCUGGCGGCGUGCUUAACACAUACAAGUCGAACGGAAAGGCCCCUUUGGGGGUACUCGAGUGGCGAACGGGUGAGUAACACGUGAGUAACCUGCCCUUGACUUCGGGAUAACUUCAGGAAACUGGGGCUAAUACCGGAUAGGAAUCCUUGCUGCAUGGUGGGGGUUGGAAAGCUUCGGCGGUUUUGGAUGGACUCGCGGCUUAUCAGCUUGUUGGUGGGGUAGUGGCUUACCAAGGCUUUGACGGGUAGCCGGCCUGAGAGGGCGACCGGCCACAUUGGGACUGAGAUACGGCCCAGACUCCUACGGGAGGCAGCAGUGGGGAAUAUUGCACAAUGGGCGGAAGUCUGAUGCAGCAACGCCGCGUGCGGGAUGACGGCCUUCGGGUUGUAAACCGCUUUCAGCAGGGGCGAAGCUUGUGGUGACGGUACCUGCAGAAGAAGCACCGGCUAACUACGUG